AACAGUAAAUGUCUCAAUGCCAGGACUCUUUUAGCCCUGUAGUGUAUCCCUGGAAACACAAUACUCAGAGAAUACUCAGAGAAGACACACCCUGAGGUGCACCUUUACUACUAAACAGAAACGAUCAAACUCUUUCCUCCCCAAUGAAUGAAUUUGUGGUGUACAGGAGUUGUUUUGGAUGGUUGUAAAGCACAGAGGGCCUCUCGUGAUCUGACGUAAAAUCAACUAAUUUCCUCUUCAGGAGGACAACUUGAAGGUUCCCUCAAAGGUAAAGUGAAUCACUGCAAUGUUCAACCUGUUGGUGUAAGGGUUGACUUUAAGGGGCGUGCCACAUGUGUCAACUACUGAUCCUGUGUGAGAAACAGACUCUCACAGUAAACUCACCCAGCGGCCUGUCUGCCACCAACAAUAGCAUCAGUGUUGGUGAAGAGAAGAAAAUGCACAUCUAAUGCGUGUGGUGUGGUUUUGCUUUCAAGUUUGGAUUUGGCUCAGGGGAAGUUAUGUACCGGGAAAAUGAAGACAGAGUCAUGAGUGCUCCUGGCGUUCGUUCUGAUGGUUUUUCGUGUCGGCACAUGUUUGCCCCCCUUGUCAGAGGGACGAAGCCGGGCUCAUGUGUCAAACAUCUAUGCUGGUUGCUGGUCAUCCUACUGAUAGGUCAGGCUUCCUGUAAUCAGACCUCUGCUGCUCCUGCCACUAUUCCUGCUACAACAGACGCACAGACUUCAGUGUACUACUUUGUUGACAUCACUGUGGAUGUCAAAGGAGAGGAGAGGGAUGAAACCGAAAUCAAGGCCUGGCUUGUCCAGGUUUUCCAAAACAACCUGGAGAGCUGCGUGUCCCCGAACAAUGAAUCAACAACUGCCCCACCUACUUCCACACAUACAAAUGAGACGACACUCAUGACGACAGCAACAACAAUACAAAGCUUUAACACAACUACAGCUACAACAGUUUUGACAAGCAAUGACACAACUACAGCUACAAUAGUUUUAACAAGCAACAACACAACUCCAGCCUCAACAUCAAAUACGUUUAACAGCAACAACACAACUCCAGCCUCAACAUCAACAACGCUUACAAGCAACAACACAACUCCAGUCUCAACAUUAACAACGUUAAAAAGCAACAACACAUCUCCAGUCUCAACAUUAACAACGUUAAAAAGCAACAACACAUCUCCAGUCUCAACAUUAACAACGUUAAAAAGCAACAACACAACUCCAGUCUCAACAUCAACAACUUUUAACAGCAACAACACAACUCCAGCCUCAACACUAACAACGUUAAAAAGCAACAACACAACUCCAGUCUCAACAUCAACAACGUUUAACAGCAACAACACAACUCCAGCCUCAACACUAACAACGUUAAAAAGCAACAACACAAAUCCAGUUGCAAUAUCAACAACGUUACAAACCGUCAGCACAACUGCAGCUGCAACAACAACAACUUUACAGCCCAGCUCGACAACCUCUUUACUUGACCCCAGUGUGACCACACAGGCGCCUGGCGGCGGAGGAAACGUCAAACCAACGAAGAAGCCAAAUCCCAGUGGAAACAAGCAACGCAUAGCUCGUGAGAUUCACGGCAAUGUGACAGAAGCCAGUGGGAACAGUAAUGGCAUCACAACCGGCCUGUAUCAAGAUAUGGAAGUGAACUGCGCCAUGAAGACUGCAAUAAGAAACACCAACUGUACUGUGAUGCUGAAGCUGAGGCAGAGUGUGCCGCCAUGUUGUAUCCUCCGUACGCUCUGUGCAGCCAGUGUUACUUCCUCCGACAUCAGGGUGGUGGGAAGAAAAGCUGACAGAACCAGCCAACUAAAAACUGUGUGCAACAGCAAUCCACAAGAGGAGAAGACUUGCUCUUAUAAGGGUCCAACCGGUGGAUCAUGUGAAGUGUCUGGAUCUGCUUAUGUUGUUCAGCAAAGCAACUCAACACAUUGUGGUGCAGGUCAGGUGAACAACACCUGCAGCUGCUCUGCUUACUGCAAUGGAACUGAUGCAUACUACAGUUUUAAAAUGUAUAUAAACGAUCCAGAGAUGAACGAGUCAUACGUCUUAUUCCUUAUUUCGAAGAUACGACAAACAACAAACUGUUCUCUAAGUGCAGAUGGUUCAUGUCCAUUGAACAUCGUUGCAUCUGAAUACAAGAGAGCCAAUGUGACCUGUGGACUCAUUGAAACAAAUGUUCAAAGCUGCAGAGCAGUUUUACGCUUUGCCCGUCAGGUUCCUAUCUGUGCCGUGUCGAAGGCUUUGACGAAUGUGUUUCAGGCCGAAGAACAAAUCACUUACAGCGGACUAGUGACCCGAGCAGCAAUUUGUGAAAAUUCAGCAGCCAGCAACGAUCCACUAAACUCCCUGUUCACGUGGUUUAAAGUGAAUCUAACGCCUGCUGAACUUUGUCUGGCAAGCGACAAUUCUCACCUCCUGAACUGUCAAAAUGGAAAAGAUUUGGCCUUGCUGUUGAACGAGAGUUGUGUACACCGGCCGUCUACCACAUCCAGCCCAAGUGUCACCACAUUGCAACCAAACACCACCUUGUCGGUGAAUGUAACCUCACCCCCGCUGAACGCAACAACGGAAGCCAUGAAUACCACCACCGCCGCUAGCGCUAACGUCACAGUGACAAAUUCACUCAACAACACAACUUUAACCCCGCUAAACACAACUGAAGCCCUGAAUACCACCGCAACCACUGUAAGCUCCAACGCCACAUUGACAACAACACUCAACAACACAACUUUAACCCCGCUGAACACAACAACUGAAGCCCUGAAUACCACCGCAACCACUGUAAGCUCCAACGCCACAGCGACAACAACCCUCAACAACACAACUACAACCACCGCAAAUGAGUCUGUUUCUCUUGCCCCAUCAGAGAGCCCAACAACCACCCUAUCAGGUGUGUUAUCAGCAACAUUUGUGUGCAACAUUUAUGUUAUUUUUGCAUCAUUUCAGAGCAUCUCUUUUCAGUGUUGUUCUUUGUUGUUGACUCCAGCUGACAGCCAAGCCAACGCACUACUUGAUCUGACCAGAGACGUGUCCAACCUGAACUCCAGCCAGGUGGAGCAACUGGUGUCUCAGCUGGAGGAUCUUUUGUCGGGCCCGACCGUCAGCCUGGAGCUGGGAAACACCUCCGUCCGCAUUGUCAGCAAUCUGCUGGACGCUUCUCCUGAGGUGCUGGCCACCACCUCCAACAGGUUACUGAUGAAUUCAUCUGGCAUUCAAUGA
ensembl:lncRNA